AAAUUGAAGAGUUUGAUCAUGGCUCAGAUUGAACGCUGGCGGCAGGCCUAACACAUGCAAGUCGAACGGUAACAGGAAGCAGCUUGCUGCUUUGCUGAUGAGUGGCGGACGGGUGAGUAAUGUCUGGGAAACUGCCUGAUGGAGGGGGAUAACUACUGGAAACGGUGGCUAAUACCGCAUAACGUCGCAAGACCAAAGAGGGGGACCUUCGGGCCUCUUGCCAUCAGAUGUGCCCAGAU
rnacentral:rRNA from 2 species